UUAAGUUCAGCGGGUAAUCUUGCCUGAUUUGAGAUCGUAAUAGAUGGAAAAAUUUAAACAAGCCGUGAUUAGAGAUCUGCAACAAAACCACUAAUGUGAGAUCGGGACGACUGUCUCGCUAGCACACAUUGAGAAUUGCUGGGGAACCCAUCAACUUGAUUCAUUCAAACCAAAUGCAGCUAUAAACAGCGCAUGAGGUC
rnacentral:misc_RNA from 1 species